CUUGAGGACGACAUGGUGGAGAUGGAAGAGGAGAGAUUGCGUAUGAGAGAGCACGUCAUGAAAAAUGUGGACGCAAAUCAUGAUCGCUUGGUCACUCUCGAUGAGUUCCUAAAAUCUACUGAAA